CUUAAUUGUAUCUAUCUUAGUUACUUUUCUCCUUCCUGAGACAAAAUACCUUACACCCACAAGUUAAGGGAGGUAAGGCUUAUUUAGCUCACAGUUUGUAGAGGUUUCAGUCCACAAUUGGCUGCCUCCAAGGCAGGAUGGCAUGGCAGAAGGACGUCACAAGAGAAACAGUUAAUGGUGUGACAGACAGAAAGCAGUGAGCAGCAAGCAGUGAACAGCAGUAGCAGCUGCUGCAGCUGCAGUAACAGUGAAGCCUUCCUUUAUAUUCCAUCCAGGGUACACCACACCGUGGAUGGGCCUUAUCAUUGGCCACAAUCAGAACUGUGGUAAACCAAUCAGUGGACUAAUUUAGUAAUCAUGGCCCUGCUAAUCCCUGCAUCACACACCCUAGAUCCAGCCAUCUCUGGAAAGCCACAUUUACAACUUCAUGAAGCUUUAGAUAGGGGGAAACAUCUUGACACAAACCAUAACACUAACUGAAUCUGGUUGGAAAAUAUUGUUACUCAUCUUUCUUAUAGAGUAUAAUCACCAGGGAAGGGAAUCUUCAUUCCAAUUUCACAUUUUUCUUUUACCUUUUCACUUUCUGGUAACAGAGAUACUUGUGGUGAGUGGUUUUCAUGACGAGUUAAACAUCCAGCUUUCUCUCUUCACUCAUCCCUUUCUUGAUCUCUUUGUCUUUCUCUAACUUUUGUUUCUUCUGUCCCUUCCUAGUACAGUGGACCCUUGACUUACAAACUCAAUCCAUUCGUGAGGGCUGACCAACUUGUAACUCAGGUUGGUCAGGCUCCUCUCCACAGCCUUCAAAGCCUCUCUUCUGUUUUAAUUUUAGACCACACUUUCUUCCAGGCAGAUCUUAGUGUCCUUAGACACUGGCCCAGGUUUCUCAGUCCCAUACUGGAAAAGAUGUAAUGUUCCUUCCAGAACUCUUUAAAGGUUAAAUCUGUGUCUGAGGCAUCUGGAAGGACAAGCAGCCAUCAUUCGGGUUGUAACUCAAGACUUUGGUUGUAAGUUAAAAGUAAAAUUUUGGUCGUGACCCAAGUUGUUCCUGUGUCAGGCUGGUCCACUGUAUCAUCUUUUGAUAACCAGAUUUGUUUUUGGCACUCCUGCUCAUUCCUCUGAGACAUUUUGAGUUAUCUUGACUCAUGCCUAGUCAUUUUCUCCCAAAUCUGAUCAUUAGGUAGUCUCUAUGUCGAUUUUUUUCCCCAUACUUACUGAUUCUGUAAUGACUUUUAAAUAUUUUCUCUAAUCCUAAUGUUAGUGGUUUUCCAAUUGGUGUUCUAGUUAUCAUUUACCUUUAUUCCAUCAAUGAAAGAAUAUAAUUUUUCAUGGUGUAGGAAGUAGCUUAAGAUAUACAUUAAAAAGUUUUCAAAUACUAUAAAAUAUCUAUCUUGACUUAAUGAGUUUUUAAUAAGACUUUGCUAAAGUGACAGGCAACAUCCAGCAGAAGUCAGUAUUCUGAGAUAUUCUAGCAAGUUCCACGAGAAUCACCAGCUCUUCAUGGUCUUCAUUUCAAAGUAUCCCAUGUGGUAGAGCACCAAAUAUGCAGCCAUGACACAGCUAAGGGCACCAGGUUUUUCACAUCAUAUUUCUUGCUAUUCUCUAUCCAGCUAUCUCACUCCUGAGGGGAUUUCAUAGGUUUUUCCUGGUUUUUUUCGUUUCAUUUUUUCUGUUUGUUUGUUUUUUGCAGUACUGGUGGUGUGGGAUAGAGAUACGGGACUUCAUAUGUACAAAGCAAGCACUCUACUGCUGAGCUACAUCCCUAGCUCUCAUACUUUACGUUUUGUUACCUCAGGAUUUCUGUACUGUGACCGUGUCCUGUGUUAGAUUGGAAAAACAUUUGGAUGCUGUAAGAAAGGCCAAAAUAAUAAUUUAAAGCUAAAAGGAAGGAGAGAAGUAGAAGAGAGGAGCAAGUUGUUUUGCUUUUAAAGUGUUAAUACAACGAUAAUAAAGAAGGUCAAUGAGGAGUCUACUCAGCACAGGUGACCAUUCUCUUCCUGAGGAUGAUGAGAACAAUGAAAAGUGAACAAACAGUAUCCCUAUUUGGAAUCACAAAUCUCUGAAAGUUGAUGAAGGAAUACUUUUUGAACUUAGCCUGGCUGCAAAGUACUUAGACAUCAAAGUUUGCUUGCUGUUAUAUGUAAGACUGUUGCCAAUAUGAUUAAGGGGGAAACUGGUAUGGAAAGUCACAGCAUCAAAAGCUGCUUUACUGAAGAGAAGGACAUGCAGGUAUUCAAGGAGAACCAGUAGUAUGAAGUGAGGAGAUUGUCACAAUAACUGUGAGGAUUAUUCCUAAUACUAGUUGCACUGCUCUGUUUAUAACUGUUAAUAUUAGCAAAACAGUAGAAAAAUGAAGCAGCAAUCAAUUCUGUUAGCAUGAGACUGUCUUCAUUGCAUAUGUAGUUUGAGUGCACAUUCCAAACCUAUGGCUGGAUUUCUUCUAGUAUGAAUGAGAUUUGCUUUUUUUCCUUUAUUCUGAAUAAACCUAAACUGGGUUUUCUGUAGAAAGUGAUGUUUUGGACUUCACUCUUUGUAAAAUGAUUUCUAUCUAGUUUAUUGUCCAGUUAACUUUAGUGAGCUUUAACAGCAACAAAAGAGUUGGCAUUGCAAAACUGGGUGUUGUGGUACAUGCCUGUAAUCCCAGCACUCAGGAGGCUGAGGCAGGAGGAUAACAGAGUUCAAGGCCAGCCUGGGCUCCAUAGCAAGUUCAAGGCCAGCCUGAACUACACAGCAAGACCCUGUCUAAAACCAAAUACAAAAAAACUAAACAUGUAAUGAUCGUAAGUAUAUAUGCACUGAAUGUCGGUGUAUCCAGUUUCAUAAAGCAAGCACUACUGGACAUAAAGUGACAGAUCCCUCAAUUAGAAUACUGGGUAUCUUCAAUAUCCCACUCUCAGAAAUUAAGAUAGGGCCAACUAGACCAAAAAAAAAAUCAAUAAAUAGAUAAACUGCACUGUAGAUCACAUGGAUUUAAAAGACACAAAGUGUUUCAUCCAACAACAGCAGAAUACACAUUUGUUUCAGCAGCUCACAGAACUUUCUCCAUAAUAGACCAAAUUUUAGGCCAUAAAGCAAGUCUUAAUAGGUACAAAAAAAUCAAAAUGAUUUCAUGCAUCUAUUAUAUCAAAAUUGAAAUUAGAAAUCUAGUAAGAGAGCAUAGAAAUACACAAACACAUGGAGGUUGAAUAAUACGGUUUUGAAUGAUCAGUGUAUCACUGAAGAAAUCAGGGAGGAAAUUUCCAAAAUUCCUAGAAGCAGACAAUAAUGGAAAUACAACAUACGAGAAUCUGUAGGAUACAGUGAAGCCAGUUCAGACAGGGACAUUUAUAGCUAUGAGUGCAUACAUUAAAAAAUUCUGAGAGGGGCUCGGGGAUUUAGCUCAGUGGUGCUGCUGCUUGCCUCACAAGCGCAAGGUCCCUAGUUCGAUCCCCGGUACCAAAAAAAAAAAGAAAAUUCUCAGAGAUCUGAACUAAAUAACCUAAGGUUGCAUCUCAAAGUCUUAGAAGAACAAGAACAAACCAAAUCCAAAACCAAUAAAAGGAAAGAAAUUCCAGAACUGAGAUCAAUGAAAUAGAGAUAAAAAACCAAUAUAGAAUAUCAAUGAAACAAAAAAUUGAUUCUUUGAAAAGAUAAAAAAGAUUGAUAAACUCUUAGCCAAAUCUAAGAAUGAGAGGACCUGAGUGAAUUAGAGAUGAGAGCUGAUGUUACCACAGAUGCUACUGAAAUCCAGAGGAUUAUUAGGGACUAUUUUGAAAACUUACAUUCUAAUAAACCAGAAAAUCUAGAUGAAAUAGAUAAAUUUCCAGGUGCAUAUGACCUAACAAAAUUGAACCAAGAGGAUCUAAAGAGAUCAAUAGCAGGCAGUGAGAUAGAAGCACUAAUAAAUCUCCCAGUGAAGAAAAGAAUAGGAUCACUUAUGUUUAUUAUGGCCCAGUUUAGAAUUGCUAAGUUUUGGAACUAGCCUAGGUGCUCAUCAACAGAUAAGUAGAUAAAGAAAAUGUAUAUACACAAAACAAGGAGAAGAAAAUUAUGUCAUUUGCAGGAAAAUGAAUAGAAUUGGAAACUUGUAAUAAGCAAAAUAAGCCAGACUCAGAAAGUCAAAUACGGCAUAUAUUCUGUCAUAGAAUCUGAAAAAAAAAAAUCUUAAAAAGGGAGAUUGUUUACAGAACAGGAAGAGGAUCAAGAAAAGGAGUAAGGAAAGAGGAAGGAGGGUAAUGGGGGAUGAAAUUAAAGUACAUUGCAUGCAUUUAUGAAUGUGCUAAAACCCAGUUACUGUGUAUAACUAAUCACUGAUAAACUUAAUAAAAGGGUCAGCUGUGGGUUGAGUAUCAAAGAAGCUUAUAAAAUCAAUUGCAUUUACAAGUACUAGUAAUAAUUACUACAAAAUGCAAUAGGAGGUAAGCUCUGAUUUUGACGGAGGUAUUUUGAAAAGAUUUUUGAGGACAUUUUAAAAAGAUCUGAAUGAAUAAAAACCUAUGACACUUUGAAAUGUAGGAGGACUUAAUACAAAAUUGUUAAUUUUCUUUAAAAAUAAUCAAAAUUCUUCAUUUCUUAUACAUUCCCAAAAGAAUUUUCUUGGGUGGGAGAAAGGGAAUCUCAUUGAUUCUAAGAUUUUCUUGGAGAUGAUAGUCUCUAAAUAGCUAGGAUCUACUUUAAGAAAAUAGUAACCAUAGCAUAAAGUAUAAUAAAAUAGGAUGAUAAAAAUACUAUAUCAGACCAAUCAAAUAAUAUAGAUUUUUCUAGAAACAGACCCUCUUAUAUAUGGAAGUUUAUUAUAUGUUACUGUUAACAUCAGGAAUCAGAAAAGUUAAUAGUCUUGAAAAAUCGUUUACUACAUUGAAAAAAAAAAACCCUG
ensembl:lncRNA